rnacentral:rRNA from 1 species
GACGAACGCUGGCGGCAUGCUUAACACAUGCAAGUCGAACGGAAAGGCCCUGCUUUUGUGGGGUGCUCGAGUGGCGAACGGGUGAGUAACACGUGAGUAACCUGCCCUGGACUUUGGGAUAACUUCAGACAACUGGUGCUAAUACCGGAUAGGUGCUCCUGCUGCAGGGUGGGGGUUGGAAAGUUUAGGCGGAUGGGGGUGGACGCGCGGCUUAUCAGCUGGUUGGUGGGGGAGUGGCUUACCCAGGCUUUGACGGGUAGCCCGCCUGAGAGGGUGGACGGGCACCAUGGGACUGAGAUAGGCAGCAGAGUGGAACAUGGGGCAGUAGUGGGGAAUAUUGCACAACGGGCCGAAGUGUGAGACAGAGACCCUGCGAGUGGGAAGCACGCUUUGGGGUUGUAAACCGCUGUAGCUUGUUACGAAGCGGGAGUGACGGUACUGGGUAAAGAAGCACCGGCUAACUACGUG